UACCUAUAGGAUAAAUAUACAUCCCACGACAAAUAUUCUUCUAGUGGUGCAGUGACAAAAACAACACAAACUUAUUAACAAGAAUUACCGAUGUAUGCAAUAAAUUUCUAUUUGGAGUUUCAAGAAAUCAUAGAGAAGCAACAAACAACCAUAUAAUUUUUUAAAAAUACUACUUGGUAAAAAAUCAAAAACUCAAUAUGAAGCUGGAUGUCACCAUCUCCUAAAGAUAAGCAAGGCUCCAAAAAGUUUGAUGUAACGAA
rnacentral:misc_RNA from 1 species